AAGUCGUAACAAGGUUUCCGUAGGUGAACCUGCGGAAGGAUCAUUACAACGUAUCCAACCGUUAAACCGAUCGGUGCACUUUAUUGUACAUCAGAGGGUCCGUUUUUCACUGGAUUAAUUUCCUUUGAGGCGGGUAGCUUUCUGGUGAAUUUUCCGUAAGAAGCCUAACCAUGAUAAAAUUUUGUUCUUAAAAGCACUCUUCUUCGAAAGGGGAAGGGGGCGAAAUAAAAAACCGCACAACUCUUAACAAUGGAUAUCUUGGUUCUC
rnacentral:misc_RNA from 1 species